rnacentral:rRNA from 1 species
UACAGAGGUCUCAAGCGUUGUUCGGAUUCAUUGGGCGUAAAGGGUGUGUAGGUGGCGCCGUAAGUCGGGUGUGAAAUUUCGGAGCUUAACUCCGAAACUGCCCUUGAUACUGCCAGGCUUGAGUAUAGUUGAGGUAGGCGGAAUUGACAGUGUAGCGGUGAAAUGCAUAGAUAUUGUCAAGAACACCAAUUGCGAAGGCAGCUUACUAAAGUAUAACUGACGCUGAGGCACGAAAGUGCGGGGAUCAAACAGG